GAAAAUACGAGAUUAACGCUACCAUUACUAGUACGAGAAGAAAGAUGCUCGAUUGCCUACUAAUCUUACUAUGUCCUGCCUAAUCGCCUCUUCCAAAUACUUCUUCGAUCUAACUCUCCUCGUACCCACUAUUAUCAAACUCUCACACGUACUAAGUGAGGCUUCCACGCAAUCAUCUCAGCCUCGUUUUAAUAAGACAAAAAAUACAUUUGAGGAGGCGACAUUGAACAAUUUGUGAGAGUUCAAUGGGCAAUUUGACCCUUUUCCCAAACUUCCUCUGAAAUUUGAAACCAGCUCCAGAGCAAAGACGCAUAGACAAUACCCUAGCCAAAGGUAACUACCGUACUCCAAAUCCAACUAUGGUGAUGAGCAAAGCUGCAAAACUACCCGAAGAAAUCAUAAUUGACAUACUUCCCCUCCUACCUGCAAAGUUCAUAGGACAAUAUAGGUGCGUGUCAAAGCAGUGGUGUAACCUUCUCUCAGACCCACAAUUCAUCAAAUCUCACCAAACAAUCCAUGCCCAUAAAGGAGAAGAGAAACUCAUCUAUGUCUCUUAGUAUCGCGAACUUCAAACUAUCACGUUUAACCACAACCCCGAAAAUGGAAUCGAUAUGAUCUCAAGGACGCUUAAUUUGCAGCAGCUGUCAAACAGCUGGGUAAGUGUUGCUGGCUCAUGUAAUGGCUUGGUCUUGGUGAUUAAGAGGGAAGAGGCUAAAUAUUUGAUCAACCCCACUACCUUAGAGUACCAUAAAAUUCCAAAUUUUGAUUUGGCUCUUCCUGUGCCAGGUAGCUGUAGCAUGUAUGGUUUUGGGUACGAUACACUUAGCGAUGAUUAUAAGGUGGUAACUCUUUCUUAUUAUGAUUCAUUUGAUGAAAAUGAGCCUGCAAUUAUGGACACUUUUGUGGAUAUUUACUCUCUGAAAAAGGGUCUUUGGAAGAGACUUGAGAGUUCUCCUUAUGAUCAUCCACUUAGUGACCGUGCUUCUGGGGUUUUGGUGAAUGGGGUUUUGCAUUGGUUGGUCUGUAAAACUUCUCAGUAUUCAUUUGUAAUUGCUGCUUUUCAUUUGAGUGAUGAAAAUUCUUGGAGGUAGCAGGACCUACUGGUCUUGGUAGUAAUUACUCACUGUGUAAUCUUGUGGUUCUUAGAGGAUGUCUUUGUAUAUUCACCGGUAUAGGUAAAGACAUGGACACAGUUACAUGUUGGAUGAUGAAAGAGUAUGGGGUUAAGGAGUCUUGGACCAAAUUUACGAUUACAGAACCAAAUUUAGAUAGAUCUAUGUGUACACUAUUGUGUUCAGUGACUGAUGAUGAUGUUCUAUUGGAUAUUGAAGAAGAGUUGGUUGUAUACAAUAUGAAAGAGAAUCAACGUAGGGAUCUGAUGGUUGAUGCAUCCCCUAUUAUGUGUGAAGCUCGAACCUUUAUGGAUAGUCUUGUCUCUCCUUCCUUUGUCGAAGGAAACUGAGGGCUAAUCUAUUGUUUGAUGCGCGAGAUGAUUCUGUAUACAGAGGCCAGAAUCUCUAUAUACUUUAAUCCCAAGGGUGUUACUCUUUCAUUAUGAUGUUGCAACUGUUACAAUUUCAAAACUGAAGACAAAUCACCAUGAUAGAACAAGAGUAUUCGAGGAAAACCUGCACUUAUGAUUUGAAUAUGGUGAAGUACACAAAAGCAGUACUACAGAAAACGUCUCGAGAAAAGUUCCCUUUUGAGAAACCCCCUCAUACUUGAGUUUUGUAUUGUUGACUGUCUAUAUCUCAGUUGAGUUUCUCGACAUUAGAUGAGUAGAUGAUCUGAGUAAGUAUUUGCAUACUCAUUUGACAAGAGGUGUUCUAAUGUUUCCAAUCAUGUUAAAGCAGCAAUAUUGUCCUUUGUGUUGCAAUAUCAAAAUUUCUAGCUCUGUUGUAUGUUU